CCUACGGGAGGCAGCAGUAGGGAAUCUUCCACAAUGGGCGAAAGCCUGAUGGAGCAACGCCGCGUGGGUGAAGAAGGUCUUCGGAUCGUAAAACCCUGUUGUUAGAGAAGAAAGUGCGUGAGAGUAACUGUUCACGUUUCGACGGUAUCUAACCAGAACGCCACGGCUAACUACGUGCCAGCAGCCGCGGUAAUACGUAGGUGGCAAGCGUUUUCCGGAUUUAUUGGGCGUAAAGGGAACGCAGGCGGUCUUUUAAGUCUGAUGUGAAAGCCUUCGGCUUAACCGGAGUAGUGCAUUGGAAACUGGGAGACUGGAGUGCAGAAGAGGAGAGUGGAACUCCAGGUGUAGCGGUGAAAUGCGUAGAUAUAUGGAAGAACACCAGUGGCGAAAGCGGCUCUCUGGUCUGUAACUGACGCUGAGGUUCGAAAGCGUGGGUAGCAAACAGGAUUAGAUACCCGGGUAGUC
rnacentral:rRNA from 1 species